AUUGAACGCUGGCGGCGUGCCUAACACAUGCAAGUCGAGCGGUAGCAGGUGUAGCAAUACAUGCUGACGAGCGGCGAACGGGUGAGUAAUGCUUCGGAAUCUACCCAAUGGUGGGGAAUAACCAGCCGAAAGGUUGGCUAAUACCGCAUACGUCCCACGGGAGAAAGCAGGGGAUCGCAAGACCUUGCGCCAAUGGAUGAGCCGAAGUCGGAUUAGCUAGNGGUAGGGUAACGGCCUACCAAGGCGACGAUCCGUAGCUGGUCUGAGAGGACGACCAGCCACACUGGGACUGAGACACGGCCCAGACUCCUACGGGAGGCAGCAGUGGGGAAUAUUGGACAAUGGGGGAAACCCUGAUCCAGCGACGCCGCGUGUGUGAAGAAGGCCUGCGGGUUGUAAAGCAC
rnacentral:rRNA from 1 species